rnacentral:lncRNA from 1 species
AUAUUCUAUUAAAUUCACUUAUAUCUAGUGAGCAGUAAAGUACAUUAAUUGCUUUAGCAUUUAAUUAUGCAAGUCGUCUAUCACUCUCAUUCCAAUCCAUUUCAGGCUUAGAAAUGAUUGUGCCCUCUAUACUAACUGUGGGUGUGUGUGGCCCCCUAGUUACAAUGUUCCACAUGUCAUAGUCUAGUGCUUGAAUGAAUAUCCUCAUCCUAGCUUUCCAAUAAGUAUAAUUAGUGCCAUUAAACAAGGAUGGUCUAUUUGUGGAUUGUCCCUCGCUAAUAGAACAUCCUACUUGGGUUGUCAUGAUCUUUGAAUCUUGAUCGUAAGAUCAACAAAUACUAUGAGAGCACCUCGCUCUGAUACCACUUGUUGCCCAAGGUGACAAGCCAAGAGGGGGG